rnacentral:rRNA from 1 species
CAAGAGAUUAAGUUAUAUUAAUAAGGUAAAAAGGUAGUUAAAUUAACAAAUAGCAUUAAUUAUGAUUUAUAUGAAAGUAAAAUUUAUAUAUAAAUAAUUAAUUUAGUGUAUGCUUAUAUUAUUGAAGCUACGACAAUCUUGGGGGAAACUGGGAUUAGAUACCCCACUAUUCUUGAAAAUAAAUUAAUUAUAUUUACCAGAGCACUACGAAUUAAACUUAAAAUUUAAAACUCAAAGAGCUUGGCGGUGUUUUAGACUAAUUAGGGGAACCUGUCUCAUAAUCGACAGUCCGCGUUAAACCUUACCUUUAAUUUGUAUCCAGUUUGUAUACCGUCGUCGUCAGGUAACUUUUAAAAAUCUAGAAGUUAGCAAUAAAAAUCUAUAUGUUAAGACGUCAGAUCAAGGUGCAACUAAUAAAAAGGAGAGGAUGGGUUACAAUUAUUUUAUUUAUAUUAUGGAUAAUUAUGUGAAAUCAUAAUUUGAAAUAGGACUUAAAAGUAAAAUAUAGUACUUAAAUACUUGAAUAUAGCUCUGAAACGUGCACACAU